rnacentral:rRNA from 1 species
AUGAACGCUGGCGGCGUGCUUAACACAUGCCAGUCGAACGAAGCACUUUAUUUGAAUUCCUUCGGGACUGAUUAUUUUGUGACUGAGUGGCGGACGGGUGAGUAACGCGUGGGUAACCUGCCUUGUACAGGGGGAUAACAGUUGGAAACGGCUGCUAAUACCGCAUAAGCGCACAGCAUCGCAUGGUGCAGUGUGAAAAACUCCGGUGGUAUAAGAUGGACCCGCGUUGGAUUAGCUAGUUGGUGAGGUAACGGCCCACCAAGGCGACGAUCCAUAGCCGACCUGAGAGGGUGACCGGCCACAUUGGGACUGAGACACGGCCCAAACUCCUACGGGAGGCAGCAGUGGGGAAUAUUGCACAAUGGGCGAAAGCCUGAUGCAGCGACGCCGCGUGAGCGAAGAAGUAUUUCGGUAUGUAAAGCUCUAUCAGCAGGGAAGAUAAUGACGGUACCUGACUAAGAAGCACCGGCUAAAUACGUG